CAUAUAUCUUAUAAUUGAAUUUAGAUAAUUUAUACUCUAAUAGGAUGAGCCGUGAUCUAUUGAUAUAAUCCAUACCCUUUAGAGAUAAGCUAUAAUAAUAUCCUAAUCACAAGAAUUAAUAUUACAACAUAAAAAAAAGAAGAAAAUAAAUCUAAUUUGCAUGGUGGAUUUGAAAUUCUUGGGUUAUCUCUCUGACUUAUUUUUUUCAUAAAUUAAUUUAUAUUUAUAAUUAAAUUUUUAUUAUUUUAUUCUUUCUUUAAUCCUUCUACAAUCAAUUCUCUUUUAUUUUUUUUAAUUAAAAAAAGAUAAUCGCCUU
rnacentral:lncRNA from 1 species